rnacentral:piRNA from 1 species
UGGGGUCCAGAUGGCUGCUGGUU